CCUGCCAGCUUGGACAUUCUAUGAAACAAGUGAGAUCACGAAAGAUGUGAAACAUGUUAGAGUGAAGGUUUGCAUACGGGAUAGAGCAAAGGUCACAGAACACUCUGCUGCGGAGGUAAGCUGCUACCGUCUAGCCUUCUGGGAGUGUGCGAAGCCCCUAAACCACAAGGAUCCAGACUGGGAGCAAGAUGUUGUGUCUGAACACCCUCAGGACAGAGAACCAGAAUCUCUGCUGAGUUCCUGUCACCACCCCCGCCCCCUGCUUUUACCUGUGUCACCCAAACUCUCCGGGGAUGGCAACACCUACCUCACAUAUUACUGUGAUGAUUAAAUGUGAAAACACAUAUGAAAGGUCUUUGUAAACUCUGAAGUGCUUUAUACAUGGAAAAUAGAAUUAAUAUUCAUGAAAGAGGAAGAAAUAGAAGGGUACCUUAAAGGAUAGAUAGGCACUACCUAAGUGGGUGUCAGACACUAAAGUACAUACUUCAUAAAAAUCAAUCAUUUAGUCCUCCUGACAUGAGAUAGGAGUUAUUAUUUUUCCCAUUCUACAGAUGAAAAAAUUGGGUCCCUGGGAGUUUAAGUAACUCACCUGGGAUUAUCCCCAAGUAAGUGGCAAAGCUAGGGCUCACACCAGAGGAGGCUGGCUGCACUUAACCAAUGUGUCUUUCUGCCACACUGCAUGGAAAAAUGUUUUCUAAUCCAAGUUAAUUCCAGCCAGUAAACUUGACCUGAGAGCCAGACUGGGCCCUGGGCACAUGCUGAUGAAGACACAGGAGCGUAAGCCAAUAAGGAGAGACUCUAAGGAAGAAGGAAAUAGAUACCACAAAUAUGACUGGCAUUGGAAUAAUGUAAACAAAAUGUGGAGAUGGAAAAGAGGAGGACUGUUCCAGAGGCUCUGCAUUUAACAGACUAAGGAACUAGGUAGUGGAUGAAGAGAAGUUCAAGGUAAGGCUACGAAGGAGAGGUAUCGGAGCCUGGUGGUGAAGGAUAUUGAAUGACACAAGAAGCGAUUGGAGCCUAGCCUGGAGUCAGUAGGGAACUAUGAAGGGUUUUGGAGCUGGUGAGUAGUGCAUCAAAAGUGGAAUUUUAAGAGAGUUAAGCUAAUAAAACAGAAGAAAGCCAUUUUUCUUGGAUCGACACUAUUGCCAUAGUCUGUAGACUUGUAAAGAUGAAGUUAGAUUCAAGUUAAUUUUUCAAUUUUGACCUCUUUGGGAAAGGGAGAUGAAACUUCAGGGAUUUAGUACCAUCACUGAUACUCAGAAUGGUGAAUAACGGAGAGCUGGUUCCAGUCAGGAGUAGUGUGUUCCCAUCCAUGCUUGCCUAUUUUCACUUCUUUGUUGGAGUUGAGUGGUGGCCUUGCCUCUGAUGGACCCCUCCAAUGAUAAGGAAUCUUUACUCCACGAAGCAGGCUGCUAUUCUUGGCCAGCUCCUACCACAAGAUUGAAUUUAUUUUUUCUUUUUUUCCCCUCUUCCCUUCGCUUCCCUUCUCUUCUCCUCUCUUCUCUUUCCCUCUUCCCUUCCCUUUUUUCCCCUUUCCUUUCCAAUUAUUUAACUACAAGUGCUCACAUUGCUUUAUUCAAAUCUAAGCAUGUCUUUAUUUCAUAUCGCCAUGUUGGUAACCCCCACAUCCUCAGAUUUGUCUGAGCUGUCAACAAGGGAAUUUUGUAGGGGUCUGAAGAGGUGGGAUCCAGGAACAAGUGAAGAAACCUCACAGAUCAUCCCUGCCACCACCAGUGCCACUGGGUACCAGGCAGUGAGAUUCACAAGUGAGUUAGCCAUGGCUCUUGACUCUGAGGGUCUCACACACACUAGAGGACAGAGGAAGGGGGUAAGCA